rnacentral:rRNA from 1 species
UUAUUCGGGAAUACUGGGCGUAAGCGCACGCAGGCGGUCUGUCAAGUCGGAUGUGAAAUCCCCGGGUUAACCUGGGAACUGCAUUCGAAACUGGCAGGCUAGAGUCUUGUAGAGGGGGGUAGAAUUCCAGGUGUAGCGGUGAAAUGCGUAGAGAUCUGGAGGAAUACCGGUGGCGAAGGCGGCCCCCUGGACAAAGACUGACGCUCAGGUGCGAAAGCGUGGGGAGCAAACAGGAUUAGAUACCCUGGUAGUCCACGCCGUAAACGAUGUCGACUUGGAGGUUGUUCCCUUGAGGAGUGGCUUCCGGAGCUAACGCGUUAAGUCGACCGCCUGGGGAGUACGGCCGCAAGGUUAAAACUCAAAAAAAUUGACGGACG